UACGAAGGGGGCUAGCGUUGCUCGGAAUCACUGGGCGUAAAGGGUGCGUAGGCGGGUCUUUUAAGUCAGGGGUGAAAUCCUGGAGCUCAACUCCAGAACUGCCUUUGAUACUGAAGAUCUUGAGUUCGGGAGAGGUGAGUGGAACUGCGAGUGUAGAGGUGAAAUUCGUAGAUAUUCGCAAGAACACCAGUGGCGAAGGCGGCUCACUGGCCCGGUACUGACGCUGAG
rnacentral:rRNA from 1 species